rnacentral:rRNA from 1 species
GACGGAGGAUGCAAGUGUUAUCCGGAAUCACUGGGCGUAAAGCGUCUGUAGGUGGUCAAAUAAGUCAACUGUUAAAUCUUGAGGCUCAACCUCAAAAUCGCAGUCGAAACUAUUAGACUAGAGUAUAGUAGGGGUAAAGGGAAUUUCCAGUGGAGCGGUGAAAUGCGUAGAGAUUGGAAAGAACACCGAUGGCGAAGGCACUUUACUGGGCUAUUACUAACACUCAGAGACGAAAGCUAGGGUAGCGAAUGGG